AGGGAAAUAGCUGAGUGAUAGAGCAUGUGCUUAGCAUGCAUGAGACCCUGGGUUCAAUCCCCAGUACCUCCA
rnacentral:tRNA from 1 species